AUUGAACGCUGGCGGCAGGCCUAACACAUGCAAGUCGAGCGGUUGACGGGAGCUUGCUCCCUGAUUCAGCGGCGGACGGGGGAGUAAUGCCUAGGAAUCUGCCCAUUAGUGGGGGACAACGUUUCGAAAGGAACGCUAAUACCGCAUACGUCCUACGGGAGAAAGCAGGGGACCUUCGGGCCUUGCGCUAAUAGAUGAGCCUAGGUCGGAUUAGCUUGUUGGUGAGGUAAUGGCUCACCAAGGCGACGAUCCGUAACUGGUCUGAGAGGAUGAUCAGUCACACUGGAACUGAGACACGGUCCAGACUCCUACGGGAGGCAGCAGUGGGGAAUAUUGGACAAUGGGCGAAAGCCUGAUUCAGCCAUGCCGCGUGUGUGAAGAAGGUCUUCGGAUUGUAAAGCACUUUAAGUUGGGAGGAAGGGUUGUAGAUUAAUACUCUGCAAUUUUGACGUUACCGACAGAAUAAGCACCGGCUAACUCUGUGCCAGCCGCCGCGGUAAAAC
rnacentral:rRNA from 1 species